rnacentral:piRNA from 1 species
UUAGGUGAUUGGAGUCCUCCCAAAGUCCAUGG